UGAAACACCGGAUCUCAUAUGAUCACCGAAGUUAAGGGACAUAGAAUCAGGUCAGUACCUAGAUGGGGGACCGCUUUGGAAUACCAG